UACGUAGGGGGCAAGCGUUGUCCGGAAUCAUUGGGCGUAAAGCGUGCGUAGGCGGUUUAGUGUGUGGGAUUUGAAAGCCCGGGGCUCAACUCCGGAUCCGGAUCCCAAACUGCUAGACUCGAGAGUAUCAGAGGAGAGCGGAAUUCCAGGUGUAGCGGUGAAAUGCGUAGAUAUCUGGAGGAACACCGGUGGCGAAGGCGGCAUCCUGGACCAACACUGACGCUGAGGAGCGAAAGCCAGGGGAGCAAACGGG
rnacentral:rRNA from 1 species